rnacentral:rRNA from 1 species
AUUGAACGCUGGCGGAAUGCUUUACACAUGCAAGUCGAACGGCAGCACGGGGCAACCUGGUGGCGAGUGGCGAACGGGUGAGUAAUACAUCGGAACGUGCCCAAUCGUGGGGGAUAACGUAGCGAAAGUUACGCUAAUACCGCAUACGAUCUACGGAUGAAAGCGGGGGAUCGCAAGAUCUCGCGCGAAUGGAGCGGCCGAUGUCAGAUUAGGUAGUUGGUGGGGUAAAGGCUCACCAAGCCAACGAUCUGUAGCUGGUCUGAGAGGACGACCAGCCACACUGGAACUGAGACACGGUCCAGACUCCUACGGGAGGCAGCAGUGGGGAAUUUUGGACAAUGGGCGCAAGCCUGAUCCAGCCAUUCCGCGUGCAGGAUGAAGGCCUUCGGUUGU